AUCUGGACUCUAACCCAUUUACGUACCCGCCUGAUUCAUGCAAGAGAUGUGCUGUGCGUGCUGGAGCAGAGUAGAUCUGCUGGGUUCGAGUUCGUUCAUGGAGUGGUCUCUGUGACUCUAUGCAGUUCGAGUUCAGGACCAGGACCCUUCAUUUCUUCGUUGUUUGGACCGAUGGCUUGGCGUUGACUUGCCAGUCUAUGGUUGAUGUGGUUGUAUCCAUGAGGUGAAAGUUUGUGGUCGUAGUUUUCUCGGGUGGAGAAUUGGCCCCUUUUGGUUCGCAAGAACUUGCAGUUAGGGGGAGCACCGAAGCAUAAGGUUGGGAAAUGUCAAUUUGCGGCUAAAAUGCAUGAAUGUCGCUUUGUUUUCUGGAGGUAAUGUCAAUUAUUGGUUAGUGUAGUUGCAUGGUGGUAAUGAUUUCUUUUGAGAGAAAACAUGAUGUUGAUUAUGCAUGUAGUUUACAUCAUCUGAGGAUGAUUGCGAGUAGAUAAUAUGAGAAGGCGCAACUGUGAGCUGUGUGCUUGUGCAUGCACCCCUGUUUAUGUGUAUACUAGUCUCUUGUCACUCUUGCAGUUCAUGUCUUACAAUUUGUAAUCUUAUCAGUUUCCUAGACAAUUCAACUUGUAUCUUUUGUAAUCGUGUUAAUUCUUCUUGAGUUCUGAUGGUUAAUGAACUGCGUCUUUAUGACGUGUACGGUGUAACUUGUAUGAUGCAAAUAAAAUGUUAAGAGAUUUCCUUUAA